CGAAAGCCUGACGGAGCAAUACCGCGUGAGGGAGGAAGGCUCUUGGGUUGUAAACCUCUUUUCUCAGGGAAGAAAGAUGACGGUACCUGAGGAAUAAGCAUCGGCUAACUCCGUGCCAGCAGCCGCGGUAAUACGGAGGAUGCAAGCGUUAUCCGGAAUGAUUGGGCGUAAAGCGUCCGCAGGUGGUGACUCAAGUCUGCUGUUAAAGGUCGGGGCUCAACCCCGAACCAGCAGUGGAAACUGGGAUGCUAGAGUGCGGUAGGGGCAGAGGGAAUUCCUGGUGUAGCGGUGAAAUGCGUAGAGAUCAGGAAGAACACCGGUGGCGAAAGCGCUCUGCUAGACCGAGACUGACACUGAGGGACGAAAGCUA
rnacentral:rRNA from 1 species